GUCGAACGAUGAUCAGGAGCUUGCUCCUGUGAUUAGUGGCGAACGGGUGAGUAACACGUGAGUAACCUGCCCCUGACUCUGGGAUAAGCGUUGGAAACGACGUCUAAUACUGGAUAUGAUCACUGGUCGCAUGGCCUGGUGGUGGAAAGAUUUUUUGGUUGGGGAUGGACUCGCGGCCUAUCAGCUUGUUGGUGAGGUAAUGGCUCACCAAGGCGACGACGGGUAGCCGGCCUGAGAGGGUGACCGGCCACACUGGGACUGAGACACGGCCCAGACUCCUACGGGAGGCAGCAGUGGGGAAUAUUGCACAAUGGGCGAAAGCCUGAUGCAGCAACGCCGCGUGAGGGAUGACGGCCUUCGGGUUGUAAACCUCUUUUAGUAGGGAAGAAGGGAGCUUCGGUUCUUGACGGUACCUGCAGAAAAAGCACCGGCUAACUACGUGCCAGCAGCCGCGGUAAUACGUAGGGUGCAAGCGUUGUCCGGAAUUAUUGGGCGUAAAGAGCUCGUAGGCGGUUUGUCGCGUCUGCUGUGAAAUCCCGAGGCUCAACCUCGGGCUUGCAGUGGGUACGGGCAGACUAGAGUGCGGUAGGGGAGAUUGGAAUUCCUGGUGUAGCGGUGGAAUGCGCAGAUAUCAGGAGGAACACCGAUGGCGAAGGCAGAUCUCUGGGCCGUAACUGACGCUGAGGAGCGAAAGCAUGGGGAGCGAACAGGAUUAGAUACC
rnacentral:rRNA from 1 species